CGAAGCCGCCAGCCGCGGCUGCUGCCCCUGUAAUCCAAGUGGCCUGCCCGGAGGCGCGGCGGGGACCACCGGCGGUGGAGCCAGCCCCCAGCCCGGGCCGCGCCGCCGACUGGGAGAUGAAGCUGAGCCCCAGAAUAGUGAUGCGUCCUCGUCAAGGUCACACAGCGAGUUGGCGGCAGAACGGGAAUGAGAGCGCAGGCCUUCACUGAGUGCCUGCUUGGUGCCCCACACCCGACUAGCUCUGCACACAUGAUCUUGUUUAACCCCGCAACAACACUGCAAGGUUCAGCUGAGAAGAUGAACAGGCCCUAAGGCUUAGCUGCCCCACCCCAGAGCCACACCUGGCUUCCGGGGGCAGCGCUACCCCAGCUCCACAGUCAGACUCCAAAAGCUUCAUCCUCAUACCUCUUCCCCUUCCUAGCCUCCUUCUAUGAUCCUGACUUACCAUUUCUUAGCUUUCUACUGGCUCCAUUUCACUCAUUUAUCCAUAAAUGCAUUCAACAAAAAUUUAUCAAGUACCUACUAUGUGUCACCAUUGUGCCGGCCCUGGGGAUACACCAGAAAGCAGACUGCUCUUUAGAAGCUUGCAGUCCAGCAGGAAGACAGAAUUAACUACACAGAUGUGUAAAUAAAUUUGUAAUUACAAAUCGGUGUUGUAAAGGAAAGUACUGGGUGCUUUAAGAAGUUAUAACAAUAACAUGCCUGAAUGUACGGAUGAGAUGAUUAUCAAGACAAUAAUUACCCAAACAGGGGGGCUGAGGCAACUCCUCAUUUGUAAUCAUGCCCACAAUUCUACAGUGGGUCUCCAGUCCUCCCGAAAUGGUGACCACCCAGUCUGUCCCAGAGGGUCCAGCUGAUGAUGUGGGUGGGAGUGGGAUGAUUAGAUGAUGGCCCCAGUGUCAACAGUCCCCUCUGCUAGCCAGCUCAGGAUUGGGGAGGGCCCAGUCCAGAGCUGGUGAGGAAGCUGGGAGAGAGGCAGGUGAGGGCCAAGGCUUGAGUCUGGGAGCACUGGGAGAGGAGGGGGCAGUGUGCCUACUGAUGAGUGUGUGAGCCUCCAGCAUCAUUCCAGGGAAAAAUUCCUCCUGCUCUGCCUUUUGACUGGGUCCUCCCGUACACACACUUAAACAGAUGCACUCUCCCUGACUCUUUAGGGAAGGGCUGGACCAGCCCACAAAAAGCAUAGUAGAGCUGGACAGGUCCUGCCUUGAUAUCAGACAGCGUUGGGCUCAAAUCCCACUUCAGCCAGUUUCUGACUGUGUGACCUCAGGCAAGGCUCUUGGUAUCCCUCAGCCUUCGUCCCCUUUGAGGUAACAUGAGCCUCUGCCACGGAGGGCUGUGAGGAUUUGAUAAACUCAUGUGCGGAAAGCACUGAAUACAGUACCCAGCCCAUGGUUCACCAUUAAUGAGGGACGGCUGUCACUCUGAUUAUAUAACCCGAUAAUUAAUAUAUAAUGGUAAUAAA